CUAUGUUUCAGGCAAUGAUUCAUGGCAAAAGGAG
ncrna:Limosilactobacillus mucosae L31-Firmicutes ribosomal protein leader